CAAUUUUGAAGACAAAUUACCACUGAUUGGCUCAGUAACAAUGGAGGAGUGGUGAUGCGAAUGGUAUCGAGAGUAGAGAAAAUGAUGAUGCAGAGCUUUGUGUAGCCAAUAAUAGAGGAACUCUACAGGACCAAUAUGAAGCAAGGCUGUUAUAACGAUCCCAUCGGUCCUCCACAUAGGCAUGUGAUGAGCUUGUUCCAGAAUCAGAUCCCUUGUAUCUACAAAAAGUGAAAAAUGAAGGUACAUACCAGUUGCUUUCUCUGUCAACUUGAUCAAAUUCGAUGCUUUUAUCAAGAAUUCGAUUGUUCCCCUUUGCAGUCCUGUAGCGGGAUAAAGAUAUCCAUGUCUGGUAGUGAACCAUUCUGAAGAGAGUUAAUGGGAGUAGGAGUAUGUAGAACAUGUCCCUCUCACUUUCAUCUUUGCUCAUGAAGAAUGUGUAUAUGCUGUGACACGCAAAUGGUGCCAAUACCAAGUACUUCAUCAUCCCAACAAAUCAUUUUUGAAAAAUAAAAAAAUGUUAGCACAAGUGACGUUGUAAUAUGUACGUGGUACGUUUAUUAUAGAGUUGCAUUAAGCUAACUAGUGAUAUCUUUUUGCCAUAAAUGAUAGUAGAAAAGAAUAUAUGUGGAUUCUGAUAAUUGUUAGUGUGUACCAUUACUAGAGUAAUCAUAUUGGAUCCAUGAUCUUUAAGUUUAUGGAUUCUGAUAUUUGUUAAUGUACAUAUUUACUGGAUUUCUUAAUAAAUAUACUAAAGUUUGGAUCAAA